rnacentral:lncRNA from 1 species
GAGAGUAAGUCUCAUUUUUCAUCAAUAAACUCCUUCUCUCUUCCUUUUCUCUCUAUCAUCUGAAGCUCACAGUGAUCAUCCAUGGAGAUGAAUGAUUUUAACAUGGUAUCAGAGCGGGGAAUAUGAUUCUCCUUGUCACGGCCUGCAUUGCGAUGUUACCCUCACCAUCUCUCGUCAAAGUUUCGGUGGUAUCAGAGCGGGGAAUAUGAUUCUCCUCGUCCUGGCCUCCGUUGCGAUGUUACCCUCACCGUCUCUCAUCAAAGUUUCGGUCUUCUCCGACAAAUCUAGGUUUUUCUCCUAUUUCUAUUUUUUUUGAAUAUCUUUCGGUGAUUGUCAAUUUUUCUAAGUUUUUUUUGAGUUUCGUUUUUUCUAUCAUCAGUUCAAACAUACCCGUCAGUUGAUUUAUGAAAUUCUUUACCUAGGAACACUUAGGGUUUCUUAAUCUUAUAAAUUUCAGCCCCAAAAUCCUUUUUCUCAGUCCAAAAAUGGUUAAUGUUGGUGGAACAUCUGAGUCUAGGACUGACACUUUUGUGAUCGACCCCUCAAAUCCCUAGUUUCUUUUGUCUUCUGAUGUUCCGAGAAUUUCUUUGGUAAGCAACCAUUUUUCAGGGGUUGGUUUUGGGGGUUGGAGACGUAAUAUAAUCGUCUCGUUGUCCGCUAGGAAUAAAAUAGGUUUCAUUGACGGAACCAUUCCCAAACCUCCAGAAAACUCUCCUCAGUUUAGACAAUGGGAUAGGUGCAACAAUAUGGUCAUCUCUUGGCUUACUAAUUCCCUUGCGCCAGAGAUAGCCGAGACACUGCUCAAAGCAUUUGGAAUAAACUCAAUAGCAGAUAUGGGACUGUGAAUGGAACCAGGAUAUUUGAGAUUAAGCAGGAGCUGGCAUUAAUUAAUCAAGGUUCUAUGGAUAUAGCUUCUUAUUUCAAUAAAUUGAAGAAACUAUGGGAUGAACUGAACUUCAUGCGUGCAUCUCGUGGCAACACUUGCACAUGCAUUGCCAGAACCGAGUUUCAAAGGGAGGAUGAUGAAAACAAACUGCAUAAGUUCCUUAUGGGACUCAAUGACAUCUAUGUGGGAGUCAGAAGUAAUGUUCUUAUGCUACAACCUCCACCAACUCUGGAUUGUGCAUACAAUAUCCUACUCCAAGAUGAGAGACAAAGACAAGUAUCUUCACCUUCGCAAUUUCAUCAUGAUUUGAGUGCCUUCAAUGCUCAUUUCAGCAACAUACACAGCAAACCCUCCAUCACUAGAUUUCCCACAGCAGCUGGUUACCCUAAACAAUUCAACCCAAGACUCAAUUCUGAUCCCAAUAGAGCAAACCUAGUGUGUAGGUAUUGUAAGAAACCUGGACACCUGAUUGAAAAAUGUUAUAAACUUCAUGGCUUUCCACCAGACUUCAAAUUCACAAGAGAAUUUCCAUCAGAUUUCAAAUUCACCAAAGGAAGGAGGAGUGCAUCACAUGUUGAAGUGCAGGGUAUGCAGACCCUGCUGGAACUCGGAGUAAUGCUGACAACUCUCAAUGGACUUCUGAUUCAGAGUCUCUAAUACCUGGUUUAAUCAAAGACCAAUAUUCCCAGCUUAUGUUGCUGCUUCAACAGACACAACUUGCAGAGUCUAAGCAGCAAUCCAGUCUUAUGGCCUCAUUCAACUUUGCUGGUAAUUUUCCUUCAACCACUCAUUUAAAAAAUGUUUCCUAUGGGGCUUGCAUUCUAACCAA